AAAUUAAUGCUUUGUUACAGAUCAAGUUCAACGAACCAAUUACCAGAAUCUAAUAGAUGUCCUUUAUGCCUGGAAACCCUUGGGUUUAGAGGAGGGUCAGCAGCUACACCUUGCGGUCACCUAGGCUGCUGGACCUGUCUGCUUGAAGCAGCUGCUUGCUCAG